ensembl:miRNA mir-59 ncRNA
UCGAAUCGUUUAUCAGGAUGAUG